UACAGAGGUCUCAAGCGUUGUUCGGAUUCAUUGGGCGUAAAGGGUGCGUAGGCGGCGCGGUAAGUCGGGUGUGAAAUCUUGGAGCUUAACUCCGAAACUGCAUUCGAUACUGCCGUGCUUGAGGACUGGAGAGGAGACUGGAAUUUACGGUGUAGCGGUGAAAAUGCGUAGAUAUCGUAAGGAAGACCAGUGGCGAAGGCGGGUCUCUGGACAGUUCCUGAUGCUGAGGCACGAAGGCCAGGGGGAGCAAAACGGGG
rnacentral:rRNA from 1 species